rnacentral:rRNA from 1 species
ACUCCUACGGGAGGCAGCAGUGGGGAAUUUUGGACAAUGGGCGAAAGCCUGAUCCAGCAAUGCCGCGUGUGUGAAGAAGGCCUUCGGGUUGUAAAGCACUUUUGUCCGGAAAGAAAUCCUUGGCUCUAAUACAGUCGGGGGAUGACGGUACCGGAAGAAUAAGCACCGGCUAACUACGUGCCAGCAGCCGCGGUAAUACGUAGGGUGCGAGCGUUAAUCGGAAUUACUGGGCGUAAAGCGUGCGCAGGCGGUUUGCUAAGACCGAUGUGAAAUCCCCGGGCUCAACCUGGGAACUGCAUUGGUGACUGGCAGGCCAGAGUAUGGCAGAGGGGGGUAGAAUUCCACGUGUAGCAGUGAAAUGCGUAGAGAUGUGGAGGAAUACCGAUGGCGAAGGCAGCCCCCUGGGCCAAUACUGACGCUCAUGCACGAAAGCGUGGGGAGCAAACAGGAUUAGAAACCCGUGUAGUCCCA